rnacentral:rRNA from 1 species
UACAGAGGGUGCAAGCGUUAAUCGGAAUUACUGGGCGUAAAGCGUGCGUAGUCGGUUAUUUAAGUCGGAUGUGAAAUCCCCGGGCUCAACCUGGGAAUUGCAUUCGAUACUGGAUAGCUAGAGUUCGGCAGAGGGAAGCGGAAUUUCUGGUGUAGCGGUGAAAUGCGUAGAUAUCAGAAGGAACAUCAGUGGCGAAAGCGGCUUCCUGGACCAGAACUGACGAUCAGGCACGAAAGCGUGGGGAGCGAACAGG